CCUGGUGGCAGCAAAAUAAAGACUGAAGCCUUUGGAAUGGUUGACCCUCCACCAAUCCUUGAAGUUCCUGCUAUCUACAUCAAGGAGGAGCCUGAGGGUGAAACUGAAGAAGUAUCCAUCAAAGAGGAACCAUUUGUAAAUGAAAAUGAGGCUUGUUCACCUGUGCAUCUCAGCCCGGCAUCUACACUCUCCUCUUGUGUGCCGUUCAAGAUGGAAACUAAAGUUGAGGCUUGCAAUGCUCACCCAAACUCUUCUCAGAACAUUUCUGCUCUGGUAUCA